rnacentral:rRNA from 1 species
UUAAAUUGAAGAGUUUGAUCAUGGCUCAGAUUGAACGCUGGCGGCAGGCCUAACACAUGCAAGUCGAACGGUAACAGGAAGCAGCUUGCUGCUUCGCUGACGAGUGGCGGACGGGGGAGUAAUGUCUGGGAAACUGCCUGAUGGAGGGGGAUAACUACUGGAAACGGUAGCUAAUACCGCAUAACGUCGCAAGACCAAAGAGGGGGACCUUCGGGCCUCUUGCCAUCGGAUGUGCCCAGAUGGGAUUAGCUAGUAGGUGGGGUAACGGCUCACCUAGGCGACGAUCCCUAGCUGGUCUGAGAGGAUGACCAGCCACACUGGAACUGAGACACGGUCCAGACUCCUACGGGAGGCAGCAGUGGGGAAUAUUGCACAAUGGGCGCAAGCCUGAUGCAGCCAUGCCGCGUGUAUGAAGAAGGCCUUCGGGUUGUAAAGUACUUUCAGCGGGGAGGAAG